rnacentral:pre_miRNA from 1 species
ACGGGUUUCGCGAUUUGCGAACAGUCUAACGGAUUGUGUUCGUUGUCGACGAAACCUGCCU